UACGGGGGGGGCAAGCGUUGUUCGGAAUUACUGGGCGUAAAGGGCUCGUAGGUGGCCAACUAAGUCGGACGUGAAAUCCCUCAGCUUAACUGGGGAACUGCGUCCGAUACUGGAUGGCUUGAGUUUGGGAGAGGGAUGCGGAAUUCCAGGUGUAGCGGUGAAAUGCGUAGAUAUCUGGAGGAACACCGGUGGCGAAGGCGGCAUCCUGGGCCGGCAUUGACGCUGAGGAGCGAAAGCCAGGGGAGCAGACGGG
rnacentral:rRNA from 1 species